AGUCUAGCUGCUAGCUUGAGUCUAGUCUAGUGUAGUAGCCUAACUAGGCUAAGCCUAAGUAGAUCUACUAGGUUGUAACUAAAAGUCUAAGACUAAGACACUAGGUCGUGACUAGGUACUAGAAUCUACUACUAGGUAUUUCAUUAGACUGUUAAUAAUACUAUAUUUUCAUAUUUGAAGUAUUUCAUUUUCGUUUUUUUAAAUUUUACUUUAGUGUGUUACCUUUAUUUUAAUCACAUUAACUG